AGAGUUUGAUCCUGGCUCAGAUUGAACGCUGGCGGCAGGCUUAACACAUGCAAGUCGAGCGGAGAUGAGGUGCUUGCACCUUAUCUUAGCGGCGGACGGGUGAGUAAUGCUUAGGAAUCUACCUAUUAGUGGGGGACAACGUUUCGAAAGGAACGCUAAUACCGCAUACGUCCUACGGGAGAAAGCAGGGGACCUUCGGGCCUUGCGCUAAUAGAUGAGCCUAAGUCGGAUUAGCUAGUUGGUGGGGUAAAGGCCUACCAAGGCGACGAUCUGUAGCGGGUCUGAGAGGAUGAUCCGCCACACUGGGACUGAGACACGGCCCAGACUCCUACGGGAGGCAGCAGUGGGGAAUAUUGGACAAUGGGGGAAACCCUGACGCAGCGACGCCGCGUGGAUGAUGAAGGCCUUCGGGUCGUAAAAUCCUGUCAGAUGGAAAGAAGUGUACGGUGGCUAAUACCCAUUGUAUUUGACGGUACCAUCAAAGGAAGCACCGGCUAACUCCGUGCCAGCAGCCGCGGUAAUA
rnacentral:rRNA from 1 species